AGAGAUGCGCAGUGCUGCCCCUUUCUAUGGGCAGGGCCGAAGGUCCGCGUGUAAAAGUACCCAGUCCCUGGUAACCUGACACUUCCCUUUUAAAAGCCACCUUUUGUCUAUCUCUGGCCUGCCACGAUUCUUCCUGUGCUCCAUAGGAGGACCCAUUGGACCCCCGGGCUGGCUGCAGGGCCCACACCUGGGUUAGACCUCGCACAGGGACGCUGCUGCCACUGUAAUAAAGCGUGCCUACACGCUUCUGAAACUGGUGUAGGAACAACCUCAGUUCUGUGAAAGGCGGACGCAGCAGGACAGAAUCUCCGUGGACAUCUGUCUGGAGGAGCAAUUUUACUGCGACAUUUUAAAGAAACAAAUUUAAUUGAUUUCCAAGACUGGAGUGGGUUCAUAUUUAUCAUGCUGGAAGGAGUGUAGAAAAAUAGAGGAAUGAAGAAGGAAAACAACGCAAGUCAUUCUAUGUACUGUGGAAACAAACUGACAGUGGGUUUAGAAAAAAACAACAGAGGAAGAAGGUCUGAGUAGUCCCAGGUAAUUGGGAAACCGAGAAGGGAAGACCACUCGGGUGAGACCAGGGAGAUCGAAGCCACAGUAAAUCACGAUCACAUCCCUCUGCUGGACCUGAACGGUACUGCCGCCUGCAAGAGCCAUCUGGUCGACCUUAGACAUGACAAGGCGAGAACCAUCUGGUCAACCUUAGACAUGGCACUCUUGUGGCUAAGUCCAACUCUAGUUGCUGAAAUACGUCUCAAAAAAACAAAAACAAUCCAACAGUAAAUGUUUUACAAAAACAAAAAAAUAAACAAUAUUAAAGAACAAUGUAUAAAUAAGUGGGAGUGAACCAAGGUAAAAGGUAAUUAAUAUCACCAUUAAGAUCUCCUCUCUUUCUCUUUUUCUCUCCAUUUGUGAUACCCAGGCUGGAGUGUGACAAAGGAAAAUCUAAAAGGUCAACUUCAUUUACAGGAAAGAGCAUAGGAAAACAGACAAAAGAACAAAGAAGAAAAACAAUAGCAAGUCACUCUAAGUACUGUGGAAAUAAACUAAAUGUCAGGUUAGGAAUAGAACAGUGAAAGAAGGUCCCAGUAGUCCCAAGGACUCGGGAGGCUGAGACACGAAGACUGCCCAGGUGAGACUACAGAGACUGAAGUUGCAGUGAAUCAUCACAUCCUGCUACUGGACUUGAACAGUACUGCUGCUGAUGAGAGCCAUCUGGGCGACCUUCGACAUGGCAAGGUGCGAGCCAUCUGAUCAGCCUUAGACAUGGCAAGGCAAGAGCCAUCUGGUCAACCUUAGAAGUGACAAGGGACAGCCACCUGGUCGACCUUUGACAUGGCAGGAUGACAGCCAUCUGGUCGACCUUAGAGAUGGGAAUGCAAGAGGCUUCAGGUCCACCUUCAACAUGGUAAGGCUAAAGCCAUCUUGUCCAGCUUAGACAUGGCAAGGCAAGAGCCAUAUGGUCCACCUUAGUCAUGGGAAGGCAAGAGCCAUCUUGUUGACCAUAGACAUGGUAAGGUGGGAGCCAUCAAGUCUGCCUCAGACAUAGCAAGGUGAGAACCAUCUGGUCAACCUCAGACAUGGGAAAGUGAGAGCCAUCUGAUCUACUUCAGACAUGGCAAGGCAAGAGGCAUCUUGACCUCAGACAUGGCAAGGAAAGAGCCAUCCGGUCGACUUUAGAGAUGGAAAUGCGAAAAGGGUUUGGGUCCACCUUAAGCAUGGAAAGGCAAGAGGCAUCUGGUCUAGUUUAGGCAUGGCAAGGCAAGAGACAUAUGGUUUACCUUAGUCAUGGGAAGGUGAGAGCCAUCUGGUCGACCAUAGACAUGGCAAGGUGGGAACCAUCAAGUCCACUUCAGACAUGGCAAGGUGAAAGCCAUCUUGGUCAACCUUAGACAUAGGAAGUUGAGAGCCACAUGGUCUACUUAAGGCAUGGCAAGGCAACAAGCAUCUGGUCAACCUCAAACAUGGCAAGGCAAGAGCCAUCUGGUCAACAUUAGAGAUGGUAAUGCAAGAGGCUUCAGAUCCAUCUUAGACAUGGUAAGGCAAGAAGCAUCUCAUCUAGCUUAGACAUGGCAAAUCAAGAGCCAUGUGGUCCACCUUAGUCAUGGGAAGGUGAGAGCCAUCUCGUUGACCAUAGACAGGGCAAGGUGGGAGCCAUCAAGUCCACCUCAGACAUGGCAAGGCGAGAGCCAUCUAGUCUGCCUCAGACAUGGCAAGGUGAGAGCCAUCUGGUUAACUUUAGACAUGGGAAGGAGAGCCAACUGGUUGGCCUCAGACAUGGAAAGGCUAGAGCCAUCCAGUCGACCUCAGAAAUGGGAAAGAGAGAGCCAUCUGGACAACCUUAAACAUGACAAAAUGAGAGCCAUCUGGUAGACUUUAGACAUAGAAUGGCAAGAGCCAUCUGGUCAAUCGUAGAUGUGGCAAGGUGAGAGCCAUCUGAUUGACCUAGACAUGGCAAGGUGAGAGACAUCUGGUCGACUGAAGACAAGGAAAAAUGAAAGCCAUCUGGUUGAGCUUAGACAUGGCAAGGCAAGAGUCAUCUGGCCGACCUUAGACAUGGAAAAAGAAGAGCCAUCUGUUUGACCUUAGACAUGGCAAGGCAAGAUCCAUCUGGUCAACCUUAGACAUGGCAAGGUGAGAGCCAUCUUGUUGAACUCACUCGAAGAGGAGACCCAUCUGGUCAACCUCAGACAUGGCAAGGUGAGAGCCAUCUGAUCGACCUUAGACAUGGCAAGGUGAGAGCCAUCUGGUCGACCUUAGAUAUGGCAAGGUGAGAAUCAUCUGGUCAAUCUUAAACAUGGCAAGGUGAGAUCCAACUUGACCUUAGAUAUGAUGAGGUGAGAACCAACUGUUCAAUCUUAGACAUGGCUAGGCAAGUGCCAUCUGGUCCACCUUAGAUAUGGCAAGGCGAGAGCCAUCUGGUCGACCUUAGACAUGGCAAGGUGAGAGCUGUCUGUUCAUCUUAGACAUGACAAGCUGGCAGCUAAAUGCGAUGCAUGCAGUCGACAUCCAUCUCAAAAUAAAUGAACCAACAGUAAAUAUAUAACAAUAACAAGGAAAUAAUAGUGAACAACCCUAAAGACCAAAUAAUUAAGUAGGAGUGUACAAUAAUAAAAGG
ensembl:lncRNA LINC00662 long intergenic non-protein coding RNA 662